GGCCAGUGAUGUUUGAUAUUGUCCGUACCAUCUGAAUAACCUUUUUUAGGGUUUUCUUUGACGAUGAUAAUCUAUCUUUUAAACGACUGAGGCCU